GUAGGGAAUCUUCGGCAAUGGACGAAAGUCUGACCGAGCAACGCCGCGUGAGUGAAGAAGGUUUUCGGAUCGUAAAACUCUGUUGGUAGAGAAGAACGUUGGUGAGAGUGGAAAGCUCAUCAAGUGACGGUAACUACCCAGAAAGGGACGGCUAACUACGUGCCAGCAGCCGCGGUAGUACGUAGGUCCCGAGCGUUGUCCGGAUUUAUUGGGCGUAAAGCGAGCGCAGGUGGUUUAUUAAGUCUGGUGUAAAAGGCAGUGGCUCAACCAUUGUAUGCAUUGGAAACUGGUAGACUUGAGUGCAGGAGAGGAGAGUGGAAUUCCAUGUGUAGCGGUGAAAUGCGUAGAUAUAUGGAGGAACACCGGUGGCGAAAGCGGCUCUCUGGCCUGUAACUGACACUGAGGCUCGAAAGCGUGGGGAGCAAACAGGAUUAGAAACCCCAGUAGUCC
rnacentral:rRNA from 1 species